CGCGGGACGGCAAAACCAUCCAAUGGGAAGAGGCGAUUCGCGGAGAUUGGCACUGAAGAUGGGAAGCGAUGAUAAGGAAACUAAACUGGAUUAAGUGCUAUCAUCUUGGAGGUGCAAAGGCAAACAAGGAGAAAGAAGUGAUUGAAGAGCACUUCAGAAAGCCUGGUACAUUCAAAUCAGCAGGGCUUGAUUACUCGCAUCCCAGGACACUUAAGGAAUUGGCAAAUAUAAUUGCAAGACCACCAGCCUUUAUUUUAGAAAAUGAAGGUUGGACAGAAGAAGGUCCUGACAAGUAGAAUCAGCAGAUGGAGUACCUGUUUUUUAAAACAGGGAAAAGGACAGCUGUAGUAAUUAUAGACUAUUCAGCUUAUCUUGGAUACCUGGGAAGAUACAAGAGCAAAUCAUCAAACAAUCAAUUUGCAACCACCUAGAAGAGCACAAGGUACUGGGUCGUAAUCAACAUGAUUUUGUGAAGUGCAAAUUAUGCCAUACCAAUUUAAUUUUAUCUAUGGUAGAGUGAUGAGCCUGGCAGAAGAGGGCAAAGAAAUAUCUACAACCGGACUUCAAUAAGGUUUUCUGUUUUUAUUUAAAAUAUUCCAUUUCCUGGCAUUUUCAGCAUCAACCUUCUGAGAGGAUACUAUCUGAACAGCAGUUGGGAAUAUUGAUCUCAGCGUUACUUUGACCAUUAAUGAAUUAUGAUGGCAAUAAGCAAAGAUGCGCACCUCUAGCCUCCAGGGAGCUUAAUCUUCUGCUACAACGUUUGCAUUUAGACAGGGUGUCUCUCUGCUGCUCAGGCUGGAGCGCAGUGGUGCGAUCACAGCUCACUGUAGCCUCGACUUCCUGGGCUCCAGUGACCCUCUCGCCUGAAACCGUACUCCCCCUCAAGCAGCUGAGACUACAGGCAGUGUUUAAGAAGGAUCCAGAAAUACUUCAAGCGAUGCCAGUGGUAGUGUUGCCUCCUCAGAAGACUGCUUUCAGGGGAACAGUAUACAUCUGCCCUAUAAAUUCUGGAUGCACUUCUCACACAGUAUUGAAUUCAUCUAUCCACCUGGCUCAUCAUACAAAUUGUUCCCUGAGUUCAAGGAUCAUGCUGCAUGCUGGAUUCCCCAGGAAGCUGCUUCUGAGAUGGAGUUUAGUGACCAAAAUAUGUAUGUGGGCCUUUGGGUCAUCACCUGUGGAAAGGAAGACAAGGAAACAGGAAUGGACCUAA
rnacentral:lncRNA from 1 species